CCUACGGGAGGCAGCAGUGAGGAAUAUUGGUCAAUGGGCGCGAGCCUGAACCAGCCAAGUAGCGUGAAGGAUGACUGCCCUACGGGUUGUAAACUUCUUUUAUAAAGGAAUAAAGUGAGGCACGUGUGCCAUUUUGUAUGUACUUUAUGAAUAAGGAUCGGCUAACUCCGUGCCAGCAGCCGCGGUAAUCCGGAGGGUCCGAGCGUUAUCCGGAUUUAUUGGGUUUAAAGGGAGCGUAGAUGGGUUGUUAAGUCAGUUGUGAAAGUUUGCGGCUCAACCGUAAAAUUGCAAUUGAUACUGGCAGUCUUGAGUACAGUUGGGGUAGGCGGAAUUCGUGGUGUAGCGGUGAAAUGCGUAGAUAUCACGAAGAACUCCGAUGGCGAAGGCAGCUUACUGAACUGCCACUGACAUUGAGGCUCGAAAGUGUGGGGAGCAAACAGGAUUAGAUACCCUAGUAGUC
rnacentral:rRNA from 1 species